CAGUAGCCGCGGGAACACGGAGGGUGCAAGCGUUAAUCGGAAUUACUGGGCGUAAAGCGUGCGUAGGCGGUUCGUUAAGUCUGUUGUGAAGGCCCCGGGCUCAACCUGGGAAUGGCAAUGGAUACUGGCGAGCUAGAGUGUGUCAGAGGAUGGUGGAAUUCCCGGUGUAGCGGUGAAAUGCGUAGAGAUCGGGAGGAACAUCAGUGGCGAAGGCGGCCAUCUGGGACAACACUGACGCUGAGGCACGAAAGCGUGGGGAGCAAACAGGAUUAGAUACCCCUGUAGUCCCUGUCUCUUAUAC
rnacentral:rRNA from 1 species